UAUGCAGCAUGUGGGCCGACUUGGUAACCUGGGGAACGUUAUACGGCGCAUGCGCAGUCCAAACCGCGCAGUGAGGAGAACUAGGUGCCAAAUCCAGGCUCCGUCCACAGUCACGCGGUACACCCAGCCCCGGCGAACAGCAGCAAGCAAAAAACACAUGACAUCACAUUCCAGGAACCAGGUGAAGAAGUCCCGGAUGAAUCUAGAGAAUUAGAGAGUAUGCAAUCAUCUUCCAUACUUGAUACCGUUACAUCUGCAGAGGAGGAGAGCAUAACAAUCCAUGUUAACCCUGUUCUGCCACAAAAUUCUCCAACAUCCCAAGAUUCCAAUAGUAAUGAAACAAGGCAACCAACUGUGCAUGAUCUUCUUGAGGAGAUUAGAAACAUUAAAGAAUG